CUGGGAUUUUGCACAGUUGAUUCCAAACUGGGGAAAAACAGGACUAAUGAAGAAAUAUAUAGUAAAAAGUGUCAUUAAUUAGCUCUUAAAUGUGUCAGCAGUCAAAGGUAGGUUACAACACAAUAGAGUUACAGCAGUGACAUUCCUAAACAACACACAUUUAUAUCGUAUACAUAGGCACACAUUCAGAUGCAUUUAUUGACACACACAAACAUAGUUAUAGACAUACAAUCCCAAGCACACAAAUGUCAACACUCAUGCACACAAACACAUCCAACACCUAUGCACACAUACACUCCACACACACGCACACACACACACACACACACACCAGGCAUUCAGCAGUCACGCCGCUCUGUAGGACUCUCCUCUGGGUGCUGCGUCCAAGCUCACAGUCAAUAUCGAGCUCCUUCUAAAUUCUUAUUCAGAGGAGCAUCUGCGCCUCCCAUUUCUCCCCUCUCUCCUUCCACGGCAGCAGCGUGUAGACAGAGGAGAAAGAAAGAGGAAAAAGAGCAAGAGUCAAAGAGACAGAAAAGAGAUGCAGCAAGACUGAGAGGAUAG
rnacentral:lncRNA from 15 species